rnacentral:rRNA from 1 species
AUGAUGAGAAGGAAAAAAAUUAAGAAGGAAAACACAGAUAAAGCUAAGCGCCAUGUAUGGAAAUCUUCAGAGGACAAAAUACUGCUGAAUAUAUUAAAAGAUCAAAGCCUACAUGGAGGAAAAGAAGGAACAGGUUACACAAAGAAAGCAUGGCGUGAUAUCUUAGAACAAUUCAAUGAUUCAAGGGUAGAAAAACUUGAAUUACAACAACUGAAAAAUCGUCAUAAGUACUACAAGAGUUGCCACAGCACCAUGGACAGACUUCAAAAACUCACGGGAUUUGGUUGGGAUGACGACGAAAAAAUGAUAAAAGCUCCAGAAGAUAUUUGGGAAGAACUAAUUAAGAAGGAUAAGGCUAUCCAAGAAUAUCAAGAUAAGGUGUGGCCUAGUUGGAUAGAUCUUCAAGCCAUAUGUGCUAGUUCAACAGCAUCUGGAGCUGGUGCUGUAUCUAGCAAAGGAAAAGAUGGUGCAUGUACAACCAAAUCUUCACAAAUUGACCUCAAUACGGAAGUUGAAGUACAUGACAUCGAUUCUGAUGAAAUCAAUGCUUCCCCUUGUGUCUUCACCAAGAAGUCAACUACCAUUGAGCCAAAAAAAAGAAGUCCCCUGGAAGUGGAUCCAAGGAAACUGCAAGAGGACAAAAACGGACAGCCGAUGAUGCCAUAA